rnacentral:rRNA from 1 species
AUUGAACGCUGGCGGCGGGCCUAACACAUGCAAGUCGAACGACUGGAGGACGGGUGAGUAAUGGCGUGGCAACUGCCUGAUGUAGGGGGAUAACGACGGGAAACGGUAGCUACUACCGCUUACCAUGGGUUGGGCCCAGAUGGGAUGAGCUAGUAGGUGGGGUAAAGGCUCACCUAGGCGACGAUCCCUAGCUGGUCUGAGAGGAUGACCAGCCACACUGGAACUGAGACACGGUCCAGACUCCUACGGGAGGCAGCAGUGGGGAAUAUUGCACAAUGGGCGAAAGCCUGAUGCAGCCAUGCCGCGUGUAUGAAGAAGGCCUUCGGGUUGUAAAGUACUUUCAGCGGGGAGGCGUUACCCGCAGAAGAAGCACCGGCUAACUCCGUGCCAGCAGCCGCGGUAAUAC